rfam:Haemonchus contortus, ISE/inbred ISE, WGS project CAVP01000000 data, contig: Hcontortus_5784
GGCGCAAACAUGAAGUAGAGUACAUUAGUAUGGUCAGAUGAUCGUACUAACCGACUGUACUUCGAAAUUGGGCCC